CUUACACAUGCAAGUCGAACGGCAGCACGGGAGCAAUCCUGGUGGCGAGUGGCGAACGGGUGAGUAAUACAUCGGAACGUGUCCUGUAGUGGGGGAUAGCCCGGCGAAAGCCGGAUUAAUCCCGCAUACGCUCUACGGACGAAAGGGCGGCAUCCUUACUCACCUCACCCUACCCGGGCACCCGCUCGCAGAUCCGCUACCCCGCCGGGUACCUAGCUCACCCACGCCUCACAUCCUAUAGCUGCCACUGACCAUGACCGAACUCCCCCCACUUGCCCACCGAGACAGCCGUAUCCACCUA
rnacentral:rRNA from 1 species